GAGGGUGUAGCUCGGUGGUAGAGUGUGUGCUUAGCAUGCACGAGGUCCUGGGUUCAAUCCCCAGUCCCUCCA
rnacentral:tRNA from 1 species